rnacentral:pre_miRNA from 1 species
ACAACAUUCGAACAGUCGGUCUACCGAGCAAUAUCACCCGCUCGGUGGAAGAUCUUCCUCCGCCGU